CCUACGGGUGGCAGCAGUGAGGAAUAUUGGUCAAUGGACGAGAGUCUGAACCAGCCAAGUAGCGUGAAGGAUGACUGCCCUAUGGGUUGUAAACUUCUUUUAUAUGGGAAUAAAAUGUUCCACGUGUGGGAUUUUGUAUGUACCAUAUGAAUAAGGAUCGGCUAACUCCGUGCCAGCAGCCGCGGUAAUACGGAGGAUCCGAGCGUUAUCCGGAUUUAUUGGGUUUAAAGGGAGCGUAGGUGGAUUGUUAAGUCAGUUGUGAAAGUUUGCGGCUCAACCGUAAAAUUGCAGUUGAAACUGACAGUCUUGAGUACAGUAGAGGUGGGCGGAAUUCGUGGUGUAGCGGUGAAAUGCUUAGAUAUCACGAAGAACUCAGAUUGCGAAGGCAGUUCACUGGACUGCAACUGACACUGAGGCUCGAAAGUGUGGGUAUCAAACAGGAUUAGAUACCCGUGUAGUC
rnacentral:rRNA from 1 species